GACAUCUAAGCCAAGCCAAGGACAGAGGGAUAAAGUGGAGCUAACCAGAAGUAGGGACUUGGGUAGGAGAGGGACGGUACCCAAGAAAGGAGUAGCGAGUACAAAGGCCUGGAGGGGAAGGAACAUUCCGGAAUGUGGGCACCUGUCCCUGGACCUGGGACCUGGAGGGCAGCCUGGCAGGGGAUAAAAGAUCUCAGCCGCGGCAGCAGCGUGAGAAGCCAGGGCUGGCGAUCACUUAGGAGAUCGAGACAGGUGAUCUUUACACCCAACAUGGGGCUUGAACUCAUGACCCUCAGGUCAAGAGUGGCCUGCUUUACCCACGGAGCCAGCCAGGUGACCCCUGUUAUGAUUAUUUUAAUUAAAAUCGUUUGGGAUGAAAGAGAGAGCUAUCUGUUGAUACUCUGUGAACAAUACUUAACUUGCCAAAAAGAAAAAAAGAAACCCAUAAAAGGUCUUAGCCACAUUUCUAGGUCAUCAUUCUGGCAAUUUCACUGAACAACCAAAUCUGUCUUUUUAGCCACAUGUGAAUAAAAUGAGAAUCAGAGAUGAUUGAAAUUUGCCUCAAUCAGUAGAAUUUCAUUCUUUGCUCUCUGG